CCCUUAACUAUUAAAAGUUUCGUUUUGGUCCUUUAACUUACUUUUUGGUUUCGUUUUGGUCCCUUAACUCUUCCUCCGUCAACCACUUUGGUCCUUUAUGUUAGGAUGAAUGUAUUAGAGUUAAGGGAUCAAAAUGAAACCAAAAAAUAAGUUAAGGGACCAAAACGAAACUUUUAAUAGUUAAGGGACCAAAAGAAAACCCAAAAAUAAGUUAUGGGACCGAAACGAAACUUUUAAUAGUUAAGGAA
rnacentral:pre_miRNA from 1 species